AGCAGUUAAUUGUACAUUUGAAACACUUCAUCUCCAAGGAAGGCAGUGUGCUUGGCUCUGAGGGUUAGGCAAAUAAUUACCUCAUCUCUGUAAGAGUCACCUAUUGCACUCUGGGAAGUCACCACCCACCACACCAUGACAAAAGGAAAUGAAUGCAGAUUGCAGUGGUGCUCUUCUGUGCCUGCUACAUGAUAAAUCCUCU
rnacentral:lncRNA from 1 species